UUUUUAGUAGAGACGAGGCUUCACCGUUUUAGCCAGGAUGGUCUCAAUCUCCUGACCUUGUGAUCCACCCGCCUCGGCCUGCCAAAGUGCUGGGAUUACAGGCAUGAGCCACCACACCCGGCCAGGUAUUUGUCGGUUUUUGAAAGCUACAUUUAAAGAAUGAAAUAGACUGAACAGAAUUACUUCCUUUUGAAUGUUUAAUACUUAAUCUACCAGAACACUUAAAUACAGUUAAUGUAUUCAAAUAAUAAGAAAGAACUUUCCCUCCGUUUCCAAAGCAAAAGUAUAAACAAUCUUUUACUUGGCAGGGAUUUCACUAUGUUUCUUAAAAGCCAGCAAGCACUUUUCCUGAAAUAGACCCGUCUCUUCCUCUGCAUAGAUCCUAUGAACAUUUUAGCUACAUUUCUGCUAUAUCUUGAUGUGUGAUAGAUUAUAGAAAAUUCCUUGCUACUGGAACUUCACGAUGCUUUCCUUUUAAACAUCAAAUAGAAAGUAUGGAUAGUAAAUCUCAGAUUAGUUGCCAUUCUUGGUCUUGGUAGAGCUGCCACCAAAAGCCUCUGUCAAUUACAACAGAGUGUGUCUCCCUAGCAACUAGGUUUAGAUUGCAGACCAAGCCACGAUCACCCAGGAUUCAGUGCAACGUAUUUGUGGACUCAGAUCUGUGUGGAUUAGUGACUUGUGUUACUCACAGAUACUUAAUUUUAUGGGUAAAUGAAUACCUGGACUGGCUGCAACUUCAGGGCGAGAUUCGGGAGUAGGGAGUGAAAAGUGACGACGGAACCCUGGGCUUGUCCUGCCAUCCCCAGGAACCGGUCGGGGCGCCUUCUCGUCUGAAGUCCCAGCACGUGGUCAGGGUACCCCUCCCCUCUGAACCCCCCCGGAAGUGAUCGGGGCACCAAUCCCCUCUGAAGCCCCAGCACCUGGUCGGGGCACCCCUCCCUUCUGAAUCCCCCAGCACCUGGUCGGGGCGCCCCUCCCUUCUAAAGCCCCCAGACCUUCCUGGCCUGCGGUGCUGCUUCUCCAAAUUCUGCCCUUGGCUGUUUUCUAGGAAUCACCUGUACCCGAACAGGCUGCGUGUGUCACUUCUUGUCGGAUCUGGGUCGACGGUGAAGCUCAUUUAUCUUGUCUUCCUCCUCACGUGCCAUAUCUCACCUGUUGUCUGUCUGAGUUUGUGUGAGUGCGUGUUGUGCGUUCUCAGGCUGUGCUUGGUGCUUAGGUGACAAGAACGUCUUAGAGCAAGGGACUGCCUGCUCCAAAGGACGCUGUGAAUGAAUCGAGACACGGUUUACUUGUGGGGUUUAAAUUUCCUGGGUGUUGGAGGCAAUUAGGGGGAAACAAGGUCUAAAAAAGCCCCUGGGGAUGAGGAAGGCAAUAAUGAAAAAAAUUACUCUAUACACACUUAGCAGUUGGUUUAAUUUGUAGGUGAAUUUUGCAUUUUGGGAACUACUAAAGCUAUUUUUUGUAGGGAUUCCUUGAUGAGCUUCUUGUUUUCUGUCCAGUAGAAAGUAAAGUGGAUCGGUUUUGCCUUUAAUUCUGACUGACUAGAAUCUACUUCCUUUUUCCCCCCAUUCACGUUAGGGUGGGGAUUGGACUAGAAGAGCUGUAGGAUCUCUUUAUUUCUGAUCUUAAAUGAAUUUUUUCUUUAAUUAGUUUUUUUGUUUGUUUGUUUUGUUUUGUUUUGUUUUUGGUGAGCUAUUACUUUUUCCUUCAAUGCACUGUUCUUUGGUUUGGAAAACGGGCUCUAUUUGUACCGUGCUUUAAAUGUACACAAUGGUUCUAAAUUGCUACUUUUCGUUAAAGUUAGAUACAACAUCUUAAUUGAAAUGUCAUCCAUAAUUGAGGCACAGUCUGAGGCCUGGAGACCCCUCU